UGUUAAAAAUUUCAUUCAUUUGUGCUGUUAAAAACGGGUGUAGCUAACAGAAUAACAAACAAUGAAACAUGGUGUGCCACGUAUACCUCAUGUUGACAUACAAAGACUAGUUUUAACUGUAGAAAUGGACGAAAUUUUUAACG
rfam:Gossypium hirsutum cultivar TM-1 unplaced genomic scaffold scaffold189.1, whole genome shotgun sequence